UUCCUGUCUCUCAGCAUCCACGCCAGUGUUGGCAGCUUCUAGAAUGUGCCUUGAACUCUCAGUGAUCUUGCCAGGAUUUAGGCCUGGAAGAAAUGCUGAUAUAUCCUGCAGAAGGGCAAGAUAAGCUGUGAUCCAGAUGUUUUGGAAUACACAAGAAUGACCACGCCAAGAAACCCCGGCAAAUCAUCAACC
rnacentral:lncRNA from 1 species